CCCUACGGGGUGCACCAGGCGGCAAAGUGAAUGAUCCGCAUGAUCCGGAGCGCAGGGAUAAGUUCUAAACUAGAAGUUUUAAAAUCAGCAAAAAGAUUAUAGCCAGACAAAAACCAUUCGAUCUCUUGGGAGUUUUCAGCAGCGGUGCCAUUGAGCAGCAUCCAGAGAUCUUGGACAGGCGGGCCGAAACAGAUAUCAUCAAAAUCUACCAAGAAGACUCCUUCUCCGGGACGGUGAAUGAGAUUGCCUUUGUGGCAGUCGCCGUGCAGCAGAAUAAAAUCUUCUUUAUGGAACCAAGCAUCGGUUUGCUGAAUGAAUUUUUCAAUGGUUUGACUGAAUGUUUUUUCGUAAUCUUCCGGCAGAUGUUUGCCGGAGAUUAACGUAUUUAAAUGUUGGCGGGGGGGC
rnacentral:rRNA from 1 species